UACAGAGGUGGCAAGCGUUGUUCGGAAUUACUGGGCGUAAAGGGCGCGUCGGCGGCCUUCUAAGUCAGACGUGAAAUCCCCCGGCUUAACCUGGGAACUGCGUCUGAUACUGGGAGGCUUGAGUAUGGGAGAGGGAUGUAGAAUUCCAGGUGUAGCGGUGAAAUGCGUAGAUAUCUGGAGGAAUACCGGUGGCGAAGGCGGCAUCCUGGACCGACAUUGACGCUGAGGAGCGAAAGCCAGGGGAGCAAACGGG
rnacentral:rRNA from 1 species